CCUGCAUCAAAGCUCAAACAAGAGUCCUAUAGGAUAAGGCAUUGUCAUUUCCAAAUAGGAUUUACACAAGAAAGUGGAAAAGAAUCAAAAGUUAAAUGGUUAAGGUCCCCUUUGGCAUCGCUUCUGAAAAGCCAAAAGGAGCUUUUGACACCCAAAAGCUAGUUUUGAACUUGUAUAAAAGUGCUUCUGAUAGUUAGAAGAGCUGUUAAAAGAGGUUAGUCCAAUGUGGUUUCCUCUAAAAACAAAUCCGAAAUAGGAAGCUCUUCGAAAAAUUAUUUCUAAACAAAAAUUGAGGUAACUUCUUUUUUUUGUGGAAGAAAUUUGUCAAGGGAAGGAUCCCAGAUUGAUUUAUCAAAUCCACGAGGAGCAAUCAGCAAUUUUUCCCUGCACCAAAGCUCAAACAAGAGUCCUAUAGGAUAAGGCAUUGUCAUUUCCAAAUAGGAUUUACACAAGAAAGUGUAAAAGAAUCAAAAGUUAAAUGGUUAAGGUCCCCUUUGGCAUCGCUUCUGAAAAGCCAAAAGGAGCUUUUGACACCCAAAAGCUAGUUUUGAACUUGUCUGGCUAAUUUUAUAAAAGUGCUUCUGAUAGUUAGAAGAGCUGUUAAAAGAGGUUAGUCCAAUGUGGUUUCCUCUAAAAACAAAUCCGAAAUAGGAAGCUCUUCGAAAAAUUAUUUCUAAACAAAAAUUGAGGUAACUUCUUCCAAAAACUCUUCCACAAGAAGCAGUAGCAAAAAGCAAAAGCCACGUCAAACGGACCCUAAGUAGCUUUUAUGUCAUUGCAUUAAGUUUAUUCCAUCACUGGAAGGAGUUCAUGAACAGACAGAGAGAGAGGCAGGAAGACUAAUAAGAUGAUAGGUUGACUUAACAAUCCAAUUUUCAGAAAUUCCAUAAGAAGCAAACAUA
rnacentral:lncRNA from 1 species